AACGAACGCUGGCGGCAGGCCUAACACAUGCAAGUCGAGCGGACCCUUCGGGGUUAGCGGCGGACGGGUGAGUAACGCGUGGGAAUAUGCCCUUCUCUACGGAAUAGUCCUGGGAAACUGGGGGUAAUACCGUAUACGCCCUUUGGGGGAAAGAUUUAUCGGGGAAGGAUUAGCCCGCGUUGGAUUAGGUAGUUGGUCGGGUAAUGGCCUACCAAGCCGACGAUCCAUAGCUGGUUUGAGAGGAUGAUCAGCCACACUGGGACUGAGACACGGCCCAGACUCCUACGGGAGGCAGCAGUGGGGAAUCUUAGACAAUGGGGGCAACCCUGAUCUAGCCAUGCCGCGUGAGUGAUGAAGGCCUUAGGGUUGUAAAGCUCUUUCAGCUGGGAAGAUAAUGACGGUACCAGCAGAAGAAGCCCCGGCUAACUCCGUG
rnacentral:rRNA from 1 species